rnacentral:rRNA from 1 species
GUACACACCGCCCGUCACACCAUGGGAGUUGGCUUUACCCGAAGCUGGUGCGCUAACCCGCAAGGAGGCAGCCAACCACGGUCAGGUCAGCGACUGGGGUGAAGUCGUAACAAGGUAGCCGUAGGUGAACCUGCAGAAGGAUCA